rnacentral:rRNA from 1 species
AGUGAACGCUGGCGGUAGGCCUAACACAUGCAAGUCGAACGGCAGCACAGUAAGAGUUUGCUCUUACGGGUGGCGAGUGGCGGACGGGUGAGGAAUACAUCGGAAUCUACUUUUUCGUGGGGGAUAACGUAGGGAAACUUACGCUAAUACCGCAUACGAUCUACGGGUGAAAGCAGUGGAUCUUCGCACCUUGCGCGAUUGAAUGAGCCGAUGUCGGAUUAGCUAGUUGGCGGGGUAAAGGCCCACCAAGGCGACGAUCCGUAGCCGGUCUGAGAGGAUGAUCGGCCACACUGGAACUGAGACACGGUCCAGACUCCUACGGGAGGCAGCAGUGGGGAAUAUUGGGCAAUGGGCGCAAGCCUGAUCCAGCCAUACCGCGUGUGUGAAGAAGGCCUUCGGGUUGUAAAGCCCUUUUGUUGGGAAAGAAAAGCAGCAGGUUAAUACCCCGCUGUUCUGACGGUACCCAAUGAAUAAGCACCGGCUAACUACGUG